ACGGGAGGCAGCGGUGGGGAAUAUUGGACAAUGGGCGAAAGCCUGAUCCAGCGACGCCGCGUGAGUGAAGAAGUAUUUCGGUAUGUAAAGCUCUAUCAGCAGGGAAGAUAAUGACGGUACCUGACUAAGAAGCCCCGGCUAACUACGUGCCAGCAGCCGCGGUAAUACGUAGGGGGCAAGCGUUAUCCGGAUUUACUGGGUGUAAAGGGAGCGUAGACGGUAUGGCAAGUCUGAUGUGAAAACCCAGGGCUCAACCCUGGGACUGCAUUGGAAACUGUCAAACUAGAGUGCAGGAGAGGUAAGUGGAAUUCCUAGUGUAGCGGUGAAAUGCGUAGAUAUUAGGAGGAACACCAGUGGCGAAGGCGGCUUACUAGACUGUAAAUGACGCUGAGGCUCGAAAGCGUGGGGAGCAAACAGGAUUAGAUACCCUGGUA
rnacentral:rRNA from 1 species